UUAACAUGGACUCUGAAAACAUUUAUUUAAGGAAAUUGUUUGUCUACAAAUUAAUAAGUACAAUCAUUUCAUCUUCUAUAUUUUUUUCAUAAAUGACUGUGUUGGUGCUUAGCACAUCCUGUGUAAUAGUUUUAUACACACACAAACACACAUAUAUACGGUCACGAUUGUACAUGUAUAAUCGUGUGUGUGUGUUUUUAUACUUUUGUUGUUAACAGAGGACCUAAAAGACUUGUGUCACUUCUGUGGAGAGAUGGAAAGUGACACGGAUGUGAACUGGAUCCAGUGUGACGUGUGUCUGAGGUGGUUCCAUCAUGCAUGUGUGGGAAGCCCACCAACUG